CGGACGGGUGAGUAAUGUCUGGGAAACUGCCCGAUGGAGGGGGAUAACUACUGGAAACGGUAGCUAAUACCGCAUAACGUCGCAAGACCAAAGAGGGGGACCUUAGGGCCUCUUGCCAUCGGAUGUGCCCAGAUGGGAUUAGCUAGUAGGUGGGGUAACGGCACACCUAGGCGACGAUCCCUAGCUGGUCUGAGAGGAUGACCAGCCACACUGGAACUGAGACACGGUCCAG
rnacentral:rRNA from 1 species